GGCUGGAUGUAGAAAUGGGUAGAUCAGCCUAACGCAAACUGCAUACAGGAAGCUCCAAAAGAUACAGUGAUGUUGUCUUUUUUAGUUUUGAAUUGUAAUACAAAUGAUUUGCAAUGCAUUUUUGCAUUUUAAACUUCUGAUAACUGAUAAUGAGAACGAGUGGGCUUUCUGCAAUCAAAUGCACUACGAACACGUUGUGGGUAGAAGAGGAAGACACUACGGCGGUUCACAAAGAGAUGUAAUAAUUAACGUUAAAUGGUUCAUCCUGAAGCCGUGACAACUUUCCGUUCAUCCUGAAACAAGGAAACAGCCACUCCUGCAGACGUGGAGAGAUUGCCUUUACCAGAUGCUCCAAGAUUAGUUAUUCAAGGGAACAAAUUUGUUUCCAACAAAUGGAUGCUAACCAUCGAAAAACAUGGUGGUGAUGACUCCACAUUCAAAUUUCACUGCAGGCCUGGCCACUUUGUUUGCAACCUUCUAUACCUUCAAUUUGGAAUACCAAGAGGAGGCUUCAUGUGUCCUUGAAUUCAUCCAAAGGUGCUUUGUGGGAAUCAACCCAGACACCGGCUCCAAGGCUUCAAGUGGAAAGAAAAAACGUCACACAAUCAAUGUAAAUGUCUGCACUCUUUUACGCAAGCUCAUGGACUUUGACUGGCUUGGUUUUUAGGCACUCGCAAAGCCAUUCUCUCAUUUUCUAAAUGUUUUUUCAAUGUCUUUCAAUUUCCAGGCUAUUGAUCGAAUAAUGGUGAAAUUAUGCUGAGUUUGAGUUGAAUG